ACUCAAGUUGUGUAUCUGCUAAACAUGGACGCAUAGUGAACUGUAGGUUGUUUUAGGUGAGCAUUUGAUAGGGAAGCUCAUAAAGGAUUUACAUACAUGA